rnacentral:lncRNA from 1 species
UUGCAGGUGGAAGUUGGAGCCCUUCUUGUGUGGAAAUGCCUUGAUGUCUGAAGGGCCAAGGGCCGAGUCCUGCAGACAGGGCAUGAGGGAGGACUCCUGUCUGAGACCUUUGGGCAGCCUGCUCUCUGUUCUGGAGAUGGGCACCGAGCUGAUGGAAUGUCACACCUGCCAAAGUGUUAAACAUAAAAUAUUUUUAUAUGGCAUCUUUUAUCUCACUGCGUUCUGCAAAGCACUGAAGUGGCACUCUGAACUUCCAGAUGAUGGUUACCGUUACUGCUGGCCCAAGUGGACCUUGCUGUUGGAGUGGUGCUCCUGCAGGAAAGAUGGUUUGAAUCAGUGGGUGCUGUUUUUUGCCCUGAUGAUGCUGAGAAAACACAGACAGGACCAAAAAACCUAA